UACGUAGGGUCCGAGCGUUGUCCGGAAUUAUUGGGCGUAAAGGGCUCGUAGGCGGUUUGUCGCGUCGGGAGUGAAAACCUACAGCUUAACUGUGGGCUUGCUUUCGAUACGGGCAGACUUGAGGCAUGCAGGGGAGAACGGAAUUCCUGGUGUAGCGGUGAAAUGCGCAGAUAUCAGGAGGAACACCGGUGGUGUAGACGGCUUUCUGGACCGUAACUGACGCUGAGGCGCGAAAGCGUGGGGAGCGAACAGG
rnacentral:rRNA from 1 species